AUUGAACGCUGGCGGCAUGCUUUACACAUGCAAGUCGAACGGCAGCGCGGGGCAACCUGGCGGCGAGUGGCGAACGGGUGAGUAAUAUAUCGGAACGUACCCAAGAGUGGGGAGUAACGUAGCGAAGUUAACGUCUAAUACCGCCAUACGAUCUAAGGAAGUGAAGUAGGGGAGUCGCAAGACCUCAUGCUCCUCGGAGCGGCCGAUAUCUGAUUAG
rnacentral:rRNA from 1 species